UUGGUAUAUAUUAUUUUCUAAGGCAACAAUGUAAUCUCCGGAGAAAUUGUUCAGAUCGGUUAACUAUAGCAUAUAGCUGCCAUACAAACUGAACGAUCGGAAUCAAGUUCUUGUAUGGAAAACUUUCACAUUUGACAAGACAUAUUCACGAAAUUUGAUAUGUAUUUUUUUCUAAAGCAACAAUGUAAUCUCCUAAGAAAUUGAUCAGAUCGGUUAAAUAUAGCAUAUAGCUUCCAUACAAACUGGACACAUAGUUACUAACAGAAAUGCACCUGUGAAGGGUAUUUAGCUUCGGUGCAACCGAAGUUAACGUUUUUCCUUGUUUUAAUCUACAAAUGUUAGUACCGAACACACAAAGAGUGUACUCACAACAAGGAAGACAUUUAUACAUACAUAUAUACAGAUAGCCAGGCGGCUUAGAAAUCACUAAAAUCUGAUAGACUUUAAAUACCGUUCCAGGAUUUCCGGAAUAAAAUGCGUAUGUUCGGAUAGAGGGCGUUCUCCAGAUAAAUAUUGGCACAAUUCCGAUUUCUUUGGCGCCACGAUUUGAAGGUACCGUUGGAAAGAGGAAGUCCUCCUGAUUAAAAAAUAAAAGGGUUAUAGUGAACAUCAUGUGUGUGCUAAAAAUUACGACGAAAUGGAGCGCUGCCAUGUGAUAAUAAGGAAAUUCGCUGACAUGCCUUUUUCCCAAAAAUUCCUCUAUCCAUUCAUGUGGAUAUGUUCUUUAUUUAAUUUAAUAAAGAAAUAAGUAAUAUUUUAUAGUAAUAUUAUAUAUUAAUAUUAUAUAUAUUGUCACCUAAUAUACAAAAAACGUAUUAUCAAAAAUAAAUCGGAGCCACUGACAGAUAUAAUAACCAAAAUUUAACCAUUUUAUAACGAAACCUCAAAUUUUGUUUCAAUAUCAGUGCAAGAUAACCAAAAAAUAUAACCACUUUAUAACGAAACUCAA